rnacentral:rRNA from 1 species
UACGGAGGAUCCGAGCGUUAUCCGGAUUUAUUGGGUUUAAAGGGUGCGUAGGCGGGUUAAUAAGUCAGUGGUGAAAGUUUGCAGCUUAACUGUAAAAUUGCCGUUGAAACUGUUAAUCUUGAGUGUAGAUAAGGUAGGCGGAAUGUGUUUUGUAGCGGUGAAAUGCAUAGAUAUAACACAGAACCCCGAUUGCGAAGGCAGCUUACCGGGCUACCACUGACGCUGAUGCACGAAAGCGUGGGGAUCAAACAGG